CUUGGGUUCAGCGCUGGCGGAUGUGACGAAGCGCGCGCGGCUGUGGGAAGGGGAAGGCGCGAGGCCCCCGGAGAAGGAGACGGCCUGUGAGGGGAGGCGGGCAGCGCGGAGGGACAGGGGCGGCGAGGAGGCCUUGGAGGCGAGGAGGGCCCGCUGCCCGGAUGCCGCAGCCGCCGUCGCAGGUCGCGCGAUGGCCUGAAAACAACAAAAGAGGGUCCAGGGAUUGAGAGCUUGGAAGAGGUGGCGUAGAGAUAAGGAGGAGAAGCUGGGAGCUUACGAGGGAGGCGAAGGAAGUAGCAGCCGCCGCCAUUGAGGGGGUUGGAGAGGGGAAGGAGAUGGUUGCUGGAGAAUGGAGACUCCACUCCGCCGGGGGAUAGAGUAGAUAACAAAGUGAUACGC
rnacentral:lncRNA from 1 species